UACGUAGGUGACCAGCGUUGUCCGGAUUUACUGGGCGUAAAGAGCGCGCUAGGCGGUCGUUCAAGUCGAGUGUGAAAGCCCCCCGGCUCAACUGGGGAGGGUCAUUCGAUACUGAUCGACUUGAAGGCAGGAGAGGGAAGCGGAAUUCCCGGUGUAGUGGUGAAAUGCGUAGAUAUCGGGAGGAACACCAGUGGCGAAGGCGGCGACCUGGGUCGAUACUGACGCUGAGGUGCGAAAGCGUGGGGAGCAAACAGG
rnacentral:rRNA from 1 species